rnacentral:precursor_RNA from 1 species
GGCUUGAGGACCGUAUUCAUGGAAGAGGAUUGAACAGUAAAGAGCCCAGGAUUUGAUAAAAAUGAGAAUAUAUCGCCUCAAGCAGAAGCAGAUGAAUAUAUGGGAGAUGAAGUAGACAGUAUGUUGGAUAAAUCUGGAGUAAAGAACCCAGCAAUUGGUAAAGAUGAGAAUAUAUCGCCUCAAGUAAAAGGAGAUGAAGACAUGGGAGAUGAAAUUGACAGUAUGUUGGCUACAUCUGGAGGUCUUUUCUCCUGAGAACACGGGACUCCAGCAUCUUCGGAUUCUGCUCUUGGAGAUGUGUGCAGCUGAACAGAGCGUUGAGGAAACGUCAGUGAUUUUAUAACUACUUAUCAUGUUGGGAGAUUGUUGUGAUGAUUGCCUGGACUCUCAGAUGUUACACAGGCUGCAUCAUUGGACUGAAAGUGAAUGGCCCAUGUGUUGCCACUGAUGUGAGCCAUUUGCAAGCC